rnacentral:rRNA from 1 species
GUGGGGAAUAUUGGACAAUGGGCGAAAGCCUGAUCCAGCCAUGCCGCGUGUGUGAAGAAGGUCUUCGGAUUGUAAAGCACUUUAAGUUGGGAGGAAGGGUAGUAACCUAAUACGUUGCUACUUUGACGUUACCGACAGAAUAAGCACCGGCUAACUUCGUGCCAGCAGCCGCGGUAAUACGAAGGGUGCAAGCGUUAAUCGGAAUUACUGGGCGUAAAGCGCGCGUAGGUGGUUCAGUAAGUUGGAAGUGAAAUCCCCGGGCUCAACCUGGGAACUGCUUUCAAAACUGCUGAGCUAGAGUACGGUAGAUGGUGGUGGAAUUUCCUGUGUAGCGGUGAAAUGCGUAGAUAUAGGAAGGAACACCAGUGGCGAAGGCGACCACCUGGACUGAUACUGACACUGAGGUGCGAAAGCGUGGGGAGCAAACAGGAUUAGAUACCCGGGUAGUCC